rnacentral:rRNA from 1 species
AACGAACGCUGGCGGCAGGCCUAACACAUGCAAGUCGAACGCCCCGCAAGGGGAGUGGCAGACGGGUGAGUAACGCGUGGGAACCUUCCCAGUGGUACGGAAUAACCCAGGGAAACCUGAGCUAAUACCGUAUACGCCCGAAAGGGUAAAGAUUUGUCGCCAUUGGAUGGGCCCGCGUCGGAUUAGCUAGUUGGUUAGGUAACGGCUCACCAAGGCCACGAUCCGUAGCUGGUCUGAGAGGCUGAUCAGCCACACUGGGACUGAGACACGACCCAGAAUCGUACGGGAGGCAGCAGUGGGGAAUAUUGGACAAUGGGCGCAAGCCUGCUCCAGCCAUGCCGCGUGAGUGAAGAAGGUCUUCGGAUUGUAAAGCUCUUCUGGCGGGGACGAUAAUGACGGUACCCGCAGAAUAAGCCCCGGCUAACUUCGUGCCAGCCGCCGCGGUAAAAC